CGCGUAGGCGGUCUGUUAAGUUGCAUGUGAAAGACCAGGGCUUAACCCUGGGGUGUCAUGCAAAACUGGGAGACUUGAGUGCAGUAGAGGGAAGUGGAAUUCCUGGUGUAGCGGUAAAAUGCGUAGAGAUCAGGAGGAACACCGGUGGCGAAGGCGACUUUCUGGGCUGCAACUGACGCUGAAGCGCGAAAGCGUGGGGAGCGAACAG
rnacentral:rRNA from 1 species